UGGGGAAUAUUGCACAAUGGGCGCAAGCCUGAUGCAGCCAUGCCGCGUGUAUGAAGAAGGCCUUCGGGUUGUAAAGUACUUUCAGCGGGGAGGAAGGGAGUAAAGUUAAUACCUUUGCUCAUUGACGUUACCCGCAGAAGAAGCACCGGCUAACUCCGUGCCAGCAGCCGCGGUAAUACGGAGGGUGCAAGCGUUAAUCGGAAUUACUGGGCGUAAAGCGCACGCAGGCGGUCUGUCAAGUCGGAUGUGAAAUCCCCGGGCUCAACCUGGGAACUGCAUUCGAAACUGGCAGGCUAGAGGCUUGUAGAGGGGGGUAGAAUUCCAGGUGUAGCGGUGAAAUGCGUAGAGAUCUGGAGGAAUACCGGUGGCGAAGGCGGCCCCCUGGACAAAGACUGACGCUCAGGUGCGAAAGCGUGGGGAGCAAACAGG
rnacentral:rRNA from 1 species